rnacentral:rRNA from 1 species
UGGGGAAUAUUGCACAAUGGGCGCAAGCCUGAUGCAGCAACGCCGCGUGAGUGAUGAAGGCCUUCGGGUCGUAAAACUCUGUCCUAAGGGAAGAUAAUGACGGUACCUUAGGAGGAAGCCC